AUAUCAAUAAGCGGAGGAAAAGAAACUAACAAGGAUUCCCCUAGUAACUGCGAGUGAAGCGGGAAAAGCUCAAAUUUAAAAUCUGGCAGUCUUUGAUUGUCCGAGUUGUAAUCUAGAGAAGCAUUAUCCGCACUGGACUGUGUACAAGUCUUCUGGAAUGAAGCAUCAUGGAGGGUGAAAAUCCCGUCUUUGACACAGACUACCAGAGCUUUGUGAUGUGCUCUCGAAGAGUCGAGUUGUUUGGGAAUGCAGCUCUAAAUGGGUGGUAAAUUUCAUCUAAAGCUAAAUACUGGCGAGAGACCGAUAGCGAACAAGUACCGUGAGGGAAAGAUGAAAAGAACUUUGGAAAGAGAGUUAAACAGUAC
rnacentral:rRNA from 1 species